rnacentral:rRNA from 1 species
AUGGCAGCUCCCAGCCACCUGCUUGACAAUAAGGCCCAGGGUGUUGGGUUCGUUGCCAUGUGUUGGAAAUAUGCCCUAGAGGGCAAGUGGUAUGCCGUGUUCAUCGGUAAGGUCCCAGGGGUUUAUAGUUCAUGGGAAGAAGCCAGUGCACAAGUGGCAUCGUAUAGCAACAACACCCAUAGAGGGUUCAAGACUAGGCAUGCAGCAGAACAAGCUUACUCCAAGUGGGUGCGAAAGCAUGGCAGCACUGUUGACAAUCGCAAGGUUGGAGGUGUGAAGGUGCAUCGUCAGUUUGGGCUGAAGCUGAAGAACUUCAUCAUCUUCGCCCAGUUCAUCGCCAUUGUUGUGUUGUGGCGUUGGUGUGCUAGGUGUGGGUAA